UCACCACCUCCUUCGGUCGCCGCCACCACAACCGCCGCCGAGCCGGCCGCCUUCUCCAUAGCCGCCGAUCCGCUUCGCUCAGCGCCCGCAAGUUUCCUGUGAGUGAAGAAAGUAGAUAAAUUCCAGACAGACUGAGAAUUAAACCAGGGUGGUGCUAGCCUGAGAGGACUGCUUAAAGUUACAGCAGCCCUGUUCAUCGAGGGGCAGCACUUCUAUGUGGACAGAAGGUAAAAGAUUUACAUUAAUGCUACCACUCAGAUACACACCCUAUGAUGGCCCCUUUGGGAUUGACUACUGUUUACAUCUGGCAGACAAUGUGCCUGGAAAAAUAUUUAUACUAUCAGGCUAGUUUAUGUCUGGACAAGACAGGGUGAGAAACUUUUUUUUGUGAGAUCUUGGUUUCACUGAAGGCAAUGUAAGAAAUUUCUUUGCUACCUCAAAAAUGAGUGUAAAAUGGACAAAAAACUUUUUUCACAGAGCUCAAAUGCUAACUAGAAAAAUUGUCUAAAAGCCUAAAAUGAUCGGAUUCCCCCAGCAUCCUGUGGAGCCUGUUUUCCAAAACAGAACCUUCUCAGCCGUGUUUACUGUGUUCUAUUCUACUCAUUGACUCUUGUAAUUUGCCAUUUUGUCUUCACUUCAAAGCAUUUCCUUUCAACAGCUAUAUAUUGCUGAUUCCUGAUCUCUUAUUUUAGGGAGAGGUUGGGAUACAAUUCUUUUUAAAAAGAUCAAUCUUUCUGUUAUUUCACAUUGACACAGUAGAUGGAGCUGGCAAUCCAUCUUCAGCUAUAACCAAAACCAGUCAGAAUUGAGGGCCUGGACCGACAAAUUCUUACUCAUCCCAACAUUCUGGACAUGACAUUUUACUAAAGCAUUUGAUUCUUAAACAUCUUUUUUCUUAAAAAAAAAGAAUAA